rnacentral:lncRNA from 1 species
CCUGCCCGGAGCCCUGCCCGUCUUGGGCCCGCCCUUCCGGGCCCUGCCGCGUUGAGUGGCGGAGUCGGGAUCCAGGUGGCCCGCCGGCCGGCUCAGUCCACCUCCCCGCUCCCGGCCUCGCGCCCCACCCCUUGGAUGAGAAAACUGAAACUGAGAGGGGACGUGACUGAUCCAACGCCCAACCCAGAGCUGGAUCACAAGGAAGACUGGAAGCUCCACUCCCCCAUGGAGCUUCCCUGUUACCAGAGGACACAAACACACAUCUGCAUGUUGAUCUGAGAGCCCUGUGUGGAGAGGAACUAGGCCCCCAGCCAACAACCAGCAGUGACUCACUGUGAGAGAGUGAAUCAUCUUGGAAGUGGAUCCUAAGCCCCAAUAGAGACUUCAGAUGAAACUGCAACCCUGGCUGACAUCUGACUGCAGUGGCAUAAGAAACCCUUAUGUCAGAAUCACCCUGCAAAGCCCAAAUUCUUGACCCACCAAGUGAAAGAGAAUAAAUGACGAUUGUUGUGUUUGAACUCCCAUGUUUUUGGGUAAUCAGUUCCACGGCAAUAAAUAACUAAUGUACUAGA